rnacentral:rRNA from 1 species
GAUGAACGCUGGCGGCGUGCCUAAUACAUGCAAGUCGAGCGAACAGACGAGGAGAUUGCUCCUCUGACGUUAGCGGCGGACGGGUGAGUAACACGUGGAUAACCUACCUAUAAGACUGGGAUAACUUCGGGAAACCGGAGCUAAUACCGGAUAAUAUAUUGAACCGCAUGGUUCAAUAGUGAAAGACGGUUUUGCUGUCACUUAUAGAUGGAUCCGCGCCGCAUUAGCUAGUUGGUAAGGUAACGGCUUACCAAGGCAACGAUGCGUAGCCGACCUGAGAGGGUGAUCGGCCACACUGGAACUGAGACACGGUCCAGACUCCUACGGGAGGCAGCAGUAGGGAAUCUUCCGCAAUGGGCGAAAGCUUGACGGAGCAACGCCGCGUGAGUGAUGAAGGUCUUCGGAUCGUAAAACUCUGUUAUUAGGGAAGAACAAAUGUGUAAGUAACUAUGCACGUCUUGACGGUACCUAAUCAGAAAGCCACGGCUAACUACGUG